rnacentral:sRNA from 1 species
CUUUGGAACCAUAGGAUUACGGAAUACCACUUUGCUCACGUUCACAAUCUCUGCACGGUGGGCUUUUAAU